rnacentral:lncRNA from 1 species
UUAUAAGUAUUUAUUUAUUUAUUUAUUUAUCAUAAGCCUGCUGCUGCUGGAGUUUUGGAAAUGUCCUAUAUCCGGCCCUGGGUAAGUAUUUAUAUGUAAAAACCAAAAUAUACAUUUAAGAUGUAAGUGCUCUACUAUAUGUAAGUUACACCUAUGUAAUCAAAAAGUUGAGAAUCACUUCAUUUACAAAUAACGUGUUAUUUUGUCAGUAUUAAUUUUUGCACAUGUUACAGUUUCACUUAGUUUUCUUUUGGACCCUCUCGGAAUUCCUAACAGUAAGUGACAAUGGUGGUUUGGGAGAAGAUGCACAUUUUUAACAGCCAUCAGUUGGAUCUCUGAGCUGCGCUUGCUCAGCUCUUCAGACGUGUCCCCAGCCUUCCACAUUAUGUCUCUUUCGCAAUGGAGAGUUUGCUAAAAGAAAUUUUUCUAGAGUUCCAUCGUACUUGGGGUUUUCCAUUCUUGGUAAACAGUGCCUCGGUCCCUUAUGUUUGACACACAGGUGGUCCCCUUCCUGCGAUUAUUGUAGAAAAACAAUGUAGAAUUGUAAAAUAUGUAAAACGAACCAGAAAUCCUUAAAUGAAAAAGAAUGAGGCCAAUACAAUGGAAGCCAUGAUCCCAAUAACAGAAAAUAGGAUCAUGUCGCUUUAUUUCUGAGCAGCUGGCCCUCCUGACCUCUUAAAAAAGCAACACAUUAAUGAUGCAUUCGCAAACAACUUGUUUUUACCUUGUGCUGACAGUCAGGCAAGUGGGAGGUUAGAGAAAAGAAGGGAAGGCCAGGCAAGGGGAUUGCUUUGCUGUACAGUCUUGGUUUCCCGGCCUUGGCUGAUGGAAUUAUUGUUUAUUUUUUUAAUUUUCAGAGGUAGGCUGAUGACAGCUGAAGAAGACUGUAUUUGCUGAGGAGCAGCAUGAUGGUAGAGAGGAGCAGAGCUCCUGAGGGAGACCUAAUGGUUCCUCUCCUUCCUGCACGGAGAUAAAGACUUAUAAUAAGCGUGCAUGUUCACCAUCUGGCUCUGUGCAUGUGGUCCUUAUGGAGGGGAAAGCAGCACAAUCUGUAAAUGAUCAGGAGCCAUGGCGCUCUCUCCAGAGAAUCCACGAUGCAAUCAAGGUGACAGAUGGCAUGGCCACUGCUGUGGCCUCAUGGAGAAGAUCAAAAUCACCUUCAAUAAACUCUGACUGAAAUGGGCAUGAGCACCUCAAAAAAGUCAGUUUGUCAGUCAAACUGCGACAGCAAGCUGCAUUGGGGAAACAUAGCGGCCAGCUCUCUGUUUUCAAUCGUUUCCGUCUGACUGGGCCUGAACUAUGAUCUUUCUCAAAUUGUCCUUUCUGUUUAGCUGAAGCAGGCCAGCAAAUUGCCAGAUUCAUUGCUUUAUUGAAGAAAAUUGAAAACACGAUGUCCUCAAUUCCGGGGACGCACGACUGGCAGGUGCUGGGACACCCAAGCGCUGAGAGUAGAUCCCCGUGUCUUCAGCCCAAGUUUGCUCAACUUUAGGCAGAUUUUUGGAUAUGAAAAUAAAAUGCAAAUAUGUGCCUGGCCUGAAAAGAUCAGCUGGCAAUGGAUAUGUGAAGGGUAUUAGAUGUCCAAUAAAUGUGUGUAGAAUAAACACAUGCUUGAAAGGAAAAGGAGGAAGGGAGGAAGGAAGGAAAGAGACAAAGUCUCCGUGUUGUUGGUUCCAUGUAUUUUGACAGCAGGCUGCCUUGAUGAUAGAUUCGCUCUCCAUUUCCUUUUCUGUGCAUGUUUAUCGAAUAUAGAUUGCUGUGAACUUGAAGCCUGGGACAUAAGAUCAGUGAAAUACAGGUGUAACAUUUUGUCCUAAACAAAUUGUAUAGAAUUUGUAGAGGUCAACGAGUUCAGACAAAUUUCGGUUUUUGACCCCCUUCCUUCCACAGCUGAAACAUUUUUGAAAGGUCCAACUGCUCAUAAAACUAGAAGGGGAUGAGUAAAAGUUACCUGUAGUGGGAGAAAAAUACUGUACUGUCUUUUUGAGAGGUAAGGGCACUGAUUUCAGGUCAAAGAUGAUGGAUCUUAAUGAAAGGACUCUCCCCCUCCCUCUCCCUCCUCCUCCCUUGGCAGAGUUCCACUGUUGUUCUUCCUCCCAAGCUCCAGGAAAUGUACAUUUCAAGCAAAAGUCGACUUUCCCAACCUUGUGGUUUCCCCAGAACCCUGUAUCUGUUCUCUGAUCCUGGUGUUUUAUAUUAUUAAGCCUGUGAGGAGAUCUCACAAUUCCAACAUCCCAUUGAUUUUCCUACUCGAGACCAUAAUCUUCUAGUUUGCAUACUUGCUUUAUUUAAAAUCCAAAUCCUGCUCCUGCCCCUGUCCCCAUACUCCAUGUUGUAAAUUAUUUGCUUGACAGCUGAGAAAUAUCUUACUAUUGGGUCCUGGAUUCUCAUAAUGGCUUUCUUUUCCCUCAUAGUUGCUUCUGAAUGCUAAUGUCCUGCUGUAGAGAUUUACAAACAACUGAAGGACUUCAGCUCUAAUCGGUGUACACAAAGCGAGAGAAACUAUGAAAAGGGGCUCAUAUUUUGAGUAACAGAAAUAGCAAGAACUUCAUAUAAGGACUGUCUUUUCACAGAACAUGUAAGUGUAGCUGACUUGUUAUGUGUCACAGUUCCAUGUGGUCUCCUGGGAGCCAGGGACUAAAUUUAUUCAGGAGGAAAUAUCUAUGGAGUGCUGAACACCUACUAGGUAUAGGCUGUGUCAGGAGCUGAGAAAUAAAACUUCAUAAAGAAAAGUAGGUAUCACACAGCACUUUUAUGGGCAUUCUCCCCUCAGGCUGGCUCUCUGCUGAGCCCGUUUGCAUUCUCAUCAAUAAUAGCUCUUGUGGAACACAGGACCCAGACGUGUGGGCUGGUGGGAGCAUGCUGUCCUGUCCCUGGAGACGCUGUGUGUAUUCUCCAUCCUGGCCUUUGGCUCUCUGGAAUGACAGGGUCUGUAAUAGACAUGUUCAUCAACACGGCCACAAGGAGGGGUGGCAGGAUGGGUCAUUUCUGUCUAUCGGUAGCAGUUUCUUCCCCCCAGACUCCAGCUGCUCACAUGGAGUUAUGCUUCAGAAAGGCAAAUGGGUCUAAUCCUUUCCUUAAGGAAAGGCCCCAUAAUCAUAUGGGGAAAUUCAGCAGGGGCCAGAAGGCUGAAGUAGCCUACACUGGAACACGAAUGUUGCGAGGCAACCAGCAGGAAAUUUAGUAAUCAGAGCUCAGCCUAAAUUCAGAUAAUUACGUUCAAAUUCUCUCUGGCAUGCAGUGUCACCUGAUCGUAUGCAAAUUGUGUAACCAUAUAUCAUUACUCUCUUUUAUGUCCUAUCAUUCCUAAAUAAUAAAUUGCUUAGAGAAAGUUUCUUGUGGUAAUUUGCAAAUGUGAGUCUGAAAGCAGAGCUUUUCCUUUAUAAUGCUGCACAUAUACCCUUGCUCUCUCGGCCCGUGGGUGCGGCAGGUAAGAAGAUAUGCAGAUCUUCAGAUCCCACAGGCUCUGAAACUCACAAGGAGGAUGGCUUGUGGUCAGAAUAUGGACAGUAGCUGCAACAUGGACUGAAUAAUUUUUAAUCAUGGAGAAUGCUUUUUAUUUUAAUGUUUUGAAAGAUUGACACAAUGCUGAAAGGAGAGGCUACACAGAAAUUUUAAAAGGUGCACACAAGAAGAUAAGCAAUCUAUUAAAAACUCAGAUUUUGAAAGCAUGCCAUUGGCCUGAAAUGGCCUUGGGGUAACAGUAAUAAAUGAAUGUUCAUUUCCCAAGUUCUCCGUGCACCAAGCCGUUUGGACUUCUCAAGAGGACAAUGCUGUCUUCUUUCAAAAGAGGGAGUAGAUGGCUUGCUACCACUAAAACAGCUCAGACAUAGCUCUACUGAUUUGGGAACAAAGAAAUGGAAUGUGGUUUUGUGUGUGUAGGAUGUCAUCAUAUGAGCUCACACCAGCUCUAAAUUGGGUAUUUGGAGGCUACUACAUCUUUUGGUCAGAUUUCAAAUCAAACCGCCAAUGUCUGCAUUUUUCUGUCCAUGCUUCUCUGAACAAGAAUGAUGGUGAAUGAGGAUGCCACCCUGUACCUCAAAUGUUUCUCAAGCUGCUGGUGUGUUUUGGUUCAGCUUUCAUGAUUUUUUAUACCAGUUUGUGACUUAAAAAAAAAAAGCUCUCAGCAAAAUAUUUCUGUUAUAGUAUGAUGUCGUGCUUAGAAAGGUUAAUAAACGUUUUACAGAACACAUU